rnacentral:rRNA from 1 species
CAGUAGCCACGGGAAUACAGAGGGUGCAAGCGUUAAUCGGAAUUACUGGGCGUAAAGCGCGCGUAGGUGGUUUGUUAAGUCGGAUGUGAAAUCCCCGGGCUCAACCUGGGAACUGCAUCCGAAACUGGCAAGCUAGAGUAUGGUAGAGGGUAGUGGAAUUUCCUGUGUAGCGGUGAAAUGCGUAGAUAUAGGAAGGAACACCAGUGGCGAAGGCGACUACCUGGACUGAUACUGACACUGAGGUGCGAAAGCGUGGGGAGCAAACAGGAUUAGAGACCCCCGUAGUCCCUGUCUCUUAUAC